UUGGUGCUUGCAUCAUGAUUUACAUUUGAGUGAGUGGCGAACUGGUGAGUAACACGUGGGAAACCUGCCCAGAAGCGGGGGAUAACACCUGGAAACAGAUGCUAAUACCGCAUAACAACUUGGACCGCAUGGUCCGAGUUUGAAAGAUGGCUUCGGCUAUCACUUUUGGAUGGUCCCGCGGCGUAUUAGCUAGAUGGUGAGGUAACGGCUCACCAUGGCAAUGAUACGUAGCCGACCUGAGAGGGUAAUCGGCCACAUUGGGACUGAGACACGGCCCAAACUCCUACGGGAGGCAGCAGUAGGGAAUCUUCCACAAUGGACGAAAGUCUGAUGGAGCAACGCCGCGUGAGUGAAGAAGGGUUUCGGCUCGUAAAACUCUGUUGUUAAAGAAGAACAUAUCUGAGAGUAACUGUUCAGGUAUUGACGGUAUUUAACCAGAAAGCCACGGCUAACUACGUGCCAGCAGCCGCGGUAAUACGUAGGUGGCAAGCGUUGUCCGGAUUUAUUGGGCGUAAAGCGAGCGCAGGCGGUUUUUUAAGUCUGAUGUGAAAGCCUUCGGCUCAACCGAAGAAGUGCAUCGGAAACUGGGAAACUUGAGUGCAGAAGAGGACAGUGGAACUCCAUGUGUAGCGGUGAAAUGCGUAGAUAUAUGGAAGAACACCAGUGGCGAAGGCGGCUGUCUGGUCUGUAACUGACGCUGAGGCUCGAAAGUAUGGGGUAGCAAACAGGAUUAGAUACCCUGGGUAGUCCAUACCGGUAAACGAUGAAUGCUAAGUGUUGGGAGGGUUUCCGCCCUUUCAGUGCUGCAGCUUACCCCAUUAGCCAUUCCGCCCUGGGGGAGUACCGGCCCCCAGGGCUGAAAACUCCAAAGGAAUUUGACCGGGGGCCCCGCACAAACCGGUUGGAACCAUGUGGGUUUUAAUUUCCAAACCUUCCCCCAAAAAAACCCU
rnacentral:rRNA from 2 species